GUGAAUAUUGGCAGUGAGUUUAAAAGGUGGAGACGACUUAAGCUAAAAAAGACUACAAGACUGACCCAGAGCUGCUAGUUCACAUUCAUAUCAGUGGUUUGUGUGCAGCUGGGAUAAAAAGGCAGAGGGUAUCUGAGAGAGAUAGAUAGGUUAGCAAGGUUAGCUACAGUGAUCUGGGCUAUGCUGGAUAACACAGUCAUGCUACACACACUAACGUGCAAUCAGUCACAACGGAGGAGCAGCUGUGUCACAUCUGAUUAAUACCUCGGCAGUGAUGAGUACUCCAAAAUAUUUGUCUCACAUCACUUGCAGUAUAACAUUGAUAUGAACAAGAAUGAAAUGGCUUUUUCCUACUCUAUCACCUCUGUCACGGCAGAUUCCUGAAAGGAAAUCACAAAGAAACAUGAAAAGGGAGAGACAGCAGCAGCGGGCGAGAGAGAUAGAGAGGAAGGAGACCAGCGCUUACUCCCUUGUCAAAGCUGUCAGCUCGUCAGGCCUGUGGGAGCAAGAUGUGGGUUAUCAAGAAGGUGUGUAACUAUGUCCGACACUGGAAAGGACAUUAAAGGAAAGACGCGAGCUGAAUCAUUGGAUAUAAUGAGGCUGGGAGACGG
rnacentral:lncRNA from 1 species